UCUUGAAGAGCUCUGCCAGCCUUAGGUUAGGAGAAGACUCCAAGCCUGCCGAGAUACAAAUGCUGAGGCUGUCGCUGACAAUCUCAGCGGACCUGACUCCUGCCCAGAGAUGGAGGAUAAAUCCAGCGAAAGAAGGUGACUCACAUCAGGCAAGAGAUGGAGAUCAUCACUGUAGAGUUUGAAGAGUCUUGAUAAAUGUGGGAGCCCAUCCCCCAAAUGAAGACAUGAAACAUCUUCAUUACUCCUGAGGGUUCCCUUGGGCCCACUUCCAGCCAACACCUCCAGCGGCAGCCGUCCUUCUGAGCUCUGUCACUGGAGAUGAGUCGUUUCUUCCUGGACUUCCUUUAAUGGGAUCACACAGAUAAGUCCUUUUAUGUCUUUGUCUUUUGUCCAGUGUGUCAUUCUGAGAAGCCACCAUGCCUAUAUGCAGCAAUUGGUUUCCUGGGUCUAUUGGACAGUAGUCUCUCCUGUGAGUAUAUUGUUGGCCUGGCAGGUUAAAAGUAUUCAAACACUACAUGAAGCAUGUGCAGACAUGGGUUAUUGUUUCCUAAGUGACAUGAUGUGACAACCACAGGCCUGGUGCUGACACUGUAGGAGGAGCUUCAGUGCUUACAAAGGUGGUUGUGAAGGGCGUGGUCCUGGAGCCGGAAGCCGCUGGACAGUUGAACCACCUACUAGUUGUCUGUUGUUUGUGCAUCUGUUGGGUCCCUUACUGGUACACAGAUUGGUGCUCUCCUUUGGUACUCUUUAGGAACACAGCACAUGUCGUUGUGUGGAUGUGUCUCUGACUUCUCCUAGAUAAACAUCUGGGAGCUGAGGAACUGGGGCCCCGAGAGUAUAUGUUUAAAUUUUUUUUCUUUUUGAGGAAUUUACAAACAGUUGAGGUUUUAAAAGAAUGUUGUGUAUGUAUCAUGUGUGUAUGUAUGUAUAUCUAUGAUGUGUGUAUGUGCGUGAUAUGUAUGUAUGUAUGACAUGUGUAUGCGAUAACUGCUGUGGGUGUGAGAUGUGUGCAUAUCCGUGCAUAUGUGGCACUGUGUUGCAUAUGGAAGUCAGAGGGCAAGCUUAGGUGUCAUCCUUGCCUUCCACCUUGUUUGAGGCAGGUACCUGGAGAAUUCCCUGUUUCUGCCUCCUGUCCCACUGCAAGCACACUGCAGUCAGGCAUGCCCACUGCCCACUGCCGUGUCUGCUUUUACUCCAGUUUGGGCUCUGAACUGAGAUCCUCAGGGCGGCACAGCAAGUGCUUGCCCAGGCUCACCGUCUCCCAGCCUGACUCAGUUUUCCACUGAGUGUGCCUGGAGUGCUUUAAAUGCAGCAAACGUGGCCACUUGUCAGGCACGUGGGUUUUAGUGACUCUUGUCUUGUCACAGAGCUCUCUCACGUUCCCAUGAAGUCACCUCUGGUUUUACUUUGUAGCUUCUGGGACUAUUGGAUUAAAGUGUUCCUCUACUUUGUUUCCUAUAUUUUGUGCCUUUUAAAAAUUUAGAAUGUGGCAUUUUGGAUGAACACAGAAAUGUGAGGACAUUAGAUGCUGUCUCCAAACAGUAAAAACGGUAUCCAAAGAGACGACUGGGCAGUUGAGAACACAUGUGCCCCAUGUGCCCCUGCUCAGGGGUCUUCUGCUUCUGAGCUCUAUGUCAACUGCGCACAUAAGCCCAAGCGCUCUCUCUCUCUCUCCCUCUCUCUCUCUCUCUCUCUCUCUCUCUCUCUCUCUCUCUCUCUCACACACACACACACAGAAUUUAAAAAUAUUUUUAAAAUAUUUAACAAACAUCAAAACCAAACCCUGUUUUCCCUUCUGAGACUUCAGCCCCCAUCCACAUUCUUACCAUAACGUCUAUGAGAAAGAGGUGGGAACUGGCUUGUGUUUAUGCACAUGUAUGCAUAUUCAUGCCCGUAAGGGAUACGUGUCUAAAAGAAUACAGAGAGAAUGAACCAGUAAACAGAGGUGGUGGGGUGGGGUAGGAAA
rnacentral:lncRNA from 1 species